AGUGAACGCUGGCGGUAGGCCUAACACAUGCAAGUCGAACGGCAGCACAGUAAGAGCUUGCUCUUACGGGUGGCGAGUGGCGGACGGGUGAGGAAUACAUCGGAAUCUACUUUUUCGUGGGGGAUAACGUAGGGAAACUUACGCUAAUACCGCAUACGACCUACGGGUGAAAGCAGGGGAUCUUCGUACCUUGCGCGAUUGAAUGAGCCGAUGUCGGAUUAGCUAGUUGGCGGGGUAAAGGCCCACCAAGGCGACGAUCCGUAGCUGGUCUGAGAGGAUGAUCAGCCACACUGGAACUGAGACACGGUCCAGACUCCUACGGGAGGCAGCAGUGGGGAAUAUUGGACAAUGGGCGCAAGCCUGAUCCAGCCAUACCGCGUGGGUGAAGAAGGCCUUCGGGUUGUAAAGCCCUUUUGUUGGGAAAGAAAAGCAGCAGGUUAAUACCCCGCUGUUCUGACGGUACCCAAAGAAUAAGCACCGGCUAACUUCGUG
rnacentral:rRNA from 1 species